CUUUUAUCAUGAUAAUUUUAAUUAUAAAUGAAUUUUUAACAUUUCUGUAUAUUAUUAUUUCAAUUAUUUUGGGUUUUUUCAAAAUUUUGUUUUGGUAAUAAAUAUAUAUGUACAUAAUUAAUCUAGAAAGCUAAGGUAUUAAUCUAGGAAUAUAUUUAUCAUAAUAUUUUUUAAUUGAAUUAUAUAUUAAACAUUUCAGUAUAGUUCUACUUUAAUGUUUCUGGGAGUACAUGUAUACAGAUAUUUAUAUAAAUUUAAUUUAGAAUAUUUAUGUAAUUUAAUUUUUUUUUGUGCCGCAAUUAAUUAUUGUGCACUUAAGCUUCUUUUGAAGCAUACACAAAUAUGUACGUUAAAUUGUUUUUUCUCGUCUUUAAUGUUUACUAUGAAAGUGUAUAUAUUGAGUUAUAGCUUUAUUUUUCAAUUGAAUGUGAUAUAUGUAUUUUAUAGAUCAAUUUAACCUUUGGAACAUAAUAGUUGUGUUGUGUGUAAGAGACCUCGUACAUUAUCUCUUAUACAAUAAAACAGACUUGUCUUUCUCCUCAUUAAGCCACAUCAUCAGGUAGGAGAGGGCAAAUCUCGACACUUAUCUGCUAAAUACCACACUUCCGGUAGCAAAAACAAACCAACAAAUUAGCCCACUAAAAUUAAAAGCAUUGCAAAGUUAAGAACCGUAAUCCACUCUCCGUAAUUAUCUUCGUAGCCCACUUAAGGCCCAACUCUCCUUACAAAGACGGUCUUCUCCAUUCUCUUAUUUUGUUGAGCCGGUGUUGCAACGUUUGGGUAACGCUAUUAACUCCAGCCAUCUCUCCACCUUUAUACCUUCCCACCAAGGUUUGCCAAACCCUAAUUUUUAACAAGCGACUUCUCAGAUGUUGUUUCCAGAGUGGCUGAGGCGAGGUUGAUUUUCAAGCUCAUUCAGUUUCAGGAAGCUUGGAAUCCAGCAGAAGUUGGGAUGCUAAUUGCUCUUGAGCUUCUCCUGAUCGACGAGAAGGAUUUAUCACACCUAAUCGUGUACGCCAUUAUGAAGCAUUUCUCAAGCUGAGCUCCACCUCUUUAGCCUCACCAACUUCUUCGCGACGAAGAACAAAGGUCAUUAACUACAAAUACACGAGUUGCUUUACUCACAUCUUAAUAUCCUUUGAUAUAUGUCUUUCUUUACUGUCUAAGACGUCAAAAAUGUCUUCAAAUCUAUUUAGAAAGUUGUGAUAGUUACAGGAAAUGAGCUUGGAUGUUAACAUGACUAGCAAUGUUGGUCUUCAAGAUUCCCUUGAUUCUAUUGGUGAAUCAAGUUGAACGAAUGGUUCAGAUGGGAACACACAACGAUAUAUUUCUUGAAAAACUGAUUCUAACUUUAUGGUUAAGAAUCUUACACAUAAGAAACUUCAUCAGUUGGGCAUACGGUUUUAUCAAUUACUCAACCUCGACCUCUGGAAGCAGUCAACCUGCGUAAGGUCAACAAGGUGAGAGGCCACUGGAGUGCAAGAAACAGUGCGUAAACAUUUUAUAUGAUAUAUCAAGUUGCAUAGUCAGGGUGUGGUUUAUAUGAGAUCUCAAGUUUUGGAGGGUGAUUGGCUUAAAAAAAUUGGUUAUUUGGUUUAGGUCUUAUUUUUCAUAUGUAAUGUGUUUCUGAUCAUGAACCGGUUUGAGCAAAUAGUAUUUGUCAUUAAGGUAAAUAUAUUUUUACUGGUU